rnacentral:rRNA from 1 species
GAUGAACGCUGGCGGCGUGCCUAAUACAUGCAAGUCGAGCGAACAGACGAGGAGCUUGCUCCUCUGACGUUAGCGGCGGACGGGUGAGUAACACGUGGAUAACCUACCUAUAAGACUGGGAUAACUUCGGGAAACCGGAGCUAAUACCGGAUAAUAUAUUGAACCGCAUGGUUCAAUAGUGAAAGACGGUUUUGCUGUCACUUAUAGAUGGAUCCGCGCCGCAUUAGCUAGUUGGUAAGGUAACGGCUUACCAAGGCAACGAUGCGUAGCCGACCUGAGAGGGUGAUCGGCCACACUAGAACUGAGACACGGUCCAGACUCCUACGGGAGGCAGCAGUAGGGAAUCUUCCGCAAAGGGCGAAAGCCUGACGGAGCAACGCCGCGUGAGUGAUGAAGGUCUUCGGUUCGUAAAACUCUGUUAUUAGGGAAGAACAAAUGUGUAAGUAACUAUGCACGUCUUGACGGUACCUAAUCAGAAAGCCACGGCUAACUACGUG